UACGUAGGGACCGAGCGUUGUCCGGAAUCAUUGGGCGUAAAGGGUGCGUAGGCGGGUAUUUAAGUCAGGGGUGAAAUCCUGGAGCUCAACUCCAGAACUGCCUUUGAUACUGAGGAUCUUGAGUUCGGGAGAGGUGAGUGGAACUGCGAGUGUAGAGGUGAAAUUCGUAGAUAUUCGCAAGAACACCAGUGGCGAAGGCGGCUCACUGGCCCGAUACUGACGCUGAGGCACGAAAGCGUGGGGAGCAAACAGG
rnacentral:rRNA from 1 species